rnacentral:rRNA from 1 species
GACGAACGCUGGCGGCGUGCUUAACACAUGCAAGUCGAGCGGUAAGGCCCUUUCGGGGGUACACGAGCGGCGAACGGGUGAGUAACACGUGGGUGACCUGCCCUCAGCUCUGGGAUAAGCCUGGGAAACUGGGUCUAAUACUGGAUAUGACUCCACGGUGCAUGUCGUGGGGUGGAAAGCCUUGUGCGGCUGAGGAUGGGCCCGCGGCCUAUCAGCUUGUUGGUGGGGNGAUGGCCUACCAAGGCGACGACGGGUAGCCGGCCUGAGAGGGCGACCGGCCACACUGGGACUGAGACACGGCCCAGACUCCUACGGGAGGCAGCAGUGGGGAAUCUUGCGCAAUGGGCGAAAGCCUGACGCAGCGGCGCCGCGUGAGGGAUGACGGCCU